GGGUUGUGAGGUUAAGCGACUAAGCGUACACGGUGGAUGCCCUGGCAGUCAGAGGCGAUGAAGGACGUGCUAAUCUGCGAUAAGCGUCGGUGAGGUGAUAUGAACCGUUAUAACCGGCGAUUUCCGAAUGGGGAAACCCAGUGUGUUUCGACACACUAUCAUUAACUGAAUCCAUAGGUUAAUGAGGCGAACCGGGGGAACUGAAACAUCUAAGUACCCCGAGGAAAAGAAAUCAACCGAGAUUCCCCCAGUAGCGGCGAGCGAACGGGGAGGAGCCCAGAGCCUGAAUCAGUGUGUGUGUUAGUGGAAGCGUCUGGAAAGGCGCGCGAUACAGGGUGACAGCCCCGUACACAAAAAUGCACAUGCUGUGAGCUCGAUGAGUAGGGCGGGACACGUGGUAUCCUGUCUGAAUAUGGGGGGACCAUCCUCCAAGGCUAAAUACUCCUGACUGACCGAUAGUGAACCAGUACCGUGAGGGAAAGGCGAAAAGAACCCCGGCGAGGGGAGUGAAAAAGAACCUGAAACCGUGUACGUACAAGCAGUGGGAGCCUCUUAAUGGGGUGACUGCGUACCUUUUGUAUAAUGGGUCAGCGACUUAUAUUCUGUAGCAAGGUUAACCGAAUAGGGGAGCCGAAGGGAAACCGAGUCUUAACUGGGCGUUAAGUUGCAGGGUAUAGACCCGAAACCCGGUGAUCUAGCCAUGGGCAGGUUGAAGGUUGGGUAACACUAACUGGAGGACCGAACCGACUAAUGUUGAAAAAUUAGCGGAUGACUUGUGGCUGGGGGUGAAAGGCCAAUCAAACCGGGAGAUAGCUGGUUCUCCCCGAAAGCUAUUUAGGUAGCGCCUCGUGAAUUCAUCUCCGGGGGUAGAGCACUGUUUCGGCAAGGGGGUCAUCCCGACUUACCAACCCGAUGCAAACUGCGAAUACCGGAGAAUGUUAUCACGGGAGACACACGGCGGGUGCUAACGUCCGUCGUGAAGAGGGAAACAACCCAGACCGCCAGCUAAGGUCCCAAAGUCAUGGUUAAGUGGGAAACGAUGUGGGAAGGCCCAGACAGCCAGGAUGUUGGCUUAGAAGCAGCCAUCAUUUAAAGAAAGCGUAAUAGCUCACUGGUCGAGUCGGCCUGCGCGGAAGAUGUAACGGGGCUAAACCAUGCACCGAAGCUGCGGCAGCGACGCUUAUGCGUUGUUGGGUAGGGGAGCGUUCUGUAAGCCUGUGAAGGUGGCCUGUGAGGGUUGCUGGAGGUAUCAGAAGUGCGAAUGCUGACAUAAGUAACGAUAAAGCGGGUGAAAAGCCCGCUCGCCGGAAGACCAAGGGUUCCUGUCCAACGUUAAUCGGGGCAGGGUGAGUCGACCCCUAAGGCGAGGCCGAAAGGCGUAGUCGAUGGGAAACAGGUUAAUAUUCCUGUACUUGGUGUUACUGCGAAGGGGGGACGGAGAAGGCUAUGUUGGCCGGGCGACGGUUGUCCCGGUUUAAGCGUGUAGGCUGGUUUUCCAGGCAAAUCCGGAAAAUCAAGGCUGAGGCGUGAUGACGAGGCACUACGGUGCUGAAGCGACAAAUGCCCUGCUUCCAGGAAAAGCCUCUAAGCAUCAGGUAACAUCAAAUCGUACCCCAAACCGACACAGGUGGUCAGGUAGAGAAUACCAAGGCGCUUGAGAGAACUCGGGUGAAGGAACUAGGCAAAAUGGUGCCGUAACUUCGGGAGAAGGCACGCUGAUAUGUAGGUGAAGCGACUUGCUCGUGGAGCUGAAAUCAGUCGAAGAUACCAGCUGGCUGCAACUGUUUAUUAAAAACACAGCACUGUGCAAACACGAAAGUGGACGUAUACGGUGUGACGCCUGCCCGGUGCCGGAAGGUUAAUUGAUGGGGUUAGCGGCAACGCGAAGCUCUUGAUCGAAGCCCCGGUAAACGGCGGCCGUAACUAUAACGGUCCUAAGGUAGCGAAAUUCCUUGUCGGGUAAGUUCCGACCUGCACGAAUGGCGUAAUGAUGGCCAGGCUGUCUCCACCCGAGACUCAGUGAAAUUGAACUCGCUGUGAAGAUGCAGUGUACCCGCGGCAAGACGGAAAGACCCCGUGAACCUUUACUAUAGCUUGACACUGAACAUUGAGCCUUGAUGUGUAGGAUAGGUGGGAGGCUUUGAAGUGUGGACGCCAGUCUGCAUGGAGCCGACCUUGAAAUACCACCCUUUAAUGUUUGAUGUUCUAACGUUGGCCCGUAAUCCGGGUUGCGGACAGUGUCUGGUGGGUAGUUUGACUGGGGCGGUCUCCUCCUAAAGAGUAACGGAGGAGCACGAAGGUUGGCUAAUCCUGGUCGGACAUCAGGAGGUUAGUGCAAUGGCAUAAGCCAGCUUGACUGCGAGCGUGACGGCGCGAGCAGGUGCGAAAGCAGGUCAUAGUGAUCCGGUGGUUCUGAAUGGAAGGGCCAUCGCUCAACGGAUAAAAGGUACUCCGGGGAUAACAGGCUGAUACCGCCCAAGAGUUCAUAUCGACGGCGGUGUUUGGCACCUCGAUGUCGGCUCAUCACAUCCUGGGGCUGAAGUAGGUCCCAAGGGUAUGGCUGUUCGCCAUUUAAAGUGGUACGCGAGCUGGGUUUAGAACGUCGUGAGACAGUUCGGUCCCUAUCUGCCGUGGGCGCUGGAGAACUGAGGGGGGCUGCUCCUAGUACGAGAGGACCGGAGUGGACGCAUCACUGGUGUUCGGGUUGUCAUGCCAAUGGCACUGCCCGGUAGCUAAAUGCGGAAGAGAUAAGUGCUGAAAGCAUCUAAGCACGAAACUUGCCCCGAGAUGAGUUCUCCCUGAGACUUAGAGUCUCCUGAAGGAACGUUGAAGACGACGACGUUGAUAGGCCGGGUGUGUAAGCGCAGCGAUGCGUUGAGCUAACCGGUACUAAUGAACCGUGAGGCUUAACCUUACAACGCCGAAG
rnacentral:rRNA from 2 species